rnacentral:rRNA from 1 species
GCACGGCUGAGGAACACGUGACUAACCUACCCCGGUGUGGGGGAUAACGGGUCGAAAGACUCGCUAAUCCCGCAUACGAUCCGCCUCGGCGGAGGAAAGCCGUAAGGCGCACUGGGCGGGGGUCGCGUCCCAUUAGAUAGUUGGUGUGGUAAUGGCGCACCAAGUCGAUGAUGGGUCUCUGGUCUGAGAGGACGACCAGACAGAUUGGGACUGAGACACGGCCCAAACUCCUACGGGGGGCAGCAGCAAGGAAUUUUCGGCAAUGGGCGCAAGCCUGACCGAGCAACGCCGCGUGGAGGAUGACGGCUCUUGGGUUGUAAACUCCUUUUGGGGGGGACGAUAAUGACGGUACCCUCCGAAUCAGGCCCGGCUAACUACGUGCCAGCAGCCGCGGUAAUACGUAGGGGCCAAGCGUUGUCCGGAAUUACUGGGCGUAAAGCGUGGGUAGGUGGUCGGUGAUGUGCCGCGUGAAAGCGCCGGAGUAAUGCCGGCGAGGUCGCGGUAGACACACGGACUCGAGGCUCGCAGAGGAACGUGGAAUUCCCGGUGUAGUGGUGAAAUGCGUAGAUAUCGGGAGGAACACCAGUGGCGCAAGCGGCGUUCUGGGCGAGACCUGACACUGAGCCACGACGGCGUGGGAGCAAACAGGAUUAGAUACCCUGGUAGUCCACGCAGUAAACGAUGCAUACCAGGUGUGGGAUGGCGUUCGCGUCGUUCCGUGCCGCAGCUUACGCGAUGAGUAUGCCGCCUGGGGACUACGAGCGCAAGCUUAAAACUCAAAGGAAUUGACGGGGGCCCGCACAAGCAGC